rnacentral:rRNA from 1 species
AGGUGUCUAUAACCGGGGGGAUCCACCUCUUUCCAUUCCGAACAGAGAAGUUAAGCCCCUGAGUGCCGAUGGUACUGCUUUAUGGUGGGAGAGUAGGUUGGCGCCGAAUU